rnacentral:rRNA from 1 species
UUAUCGGAGAGUUUGAUCCUGGCUCAGGACGAACGCUGGCGGCGUGCCUAAUACAUGCAAGUCGAGCGGACAGAUGGGAGCUUGCUCCCUGAUGUUAGCGGCGGACGGGUGAGUAACACGUGGGUAACCUGCCUGUAAGACUGGGAUAACUCCGGGAAACCGGGGCUAAUACCGGAUGCUUGUUUGAACCGCAUGGUUCAAACAUAAAAGGUGGCUUC